rnacentral:lncRNA from 1 species
CAACAAUACAGCUUGAUGUUGUAGAAGCAGAGACAGAAGAGGUAACUGGAGGAAAUGGGCUUCUUUGCGCCAAGAGAACCACCAAGCGAUUAUCUGUGACAUCACUUCCUUCAGAGCUGCAGAAGGCACAAUAUGCAUCAAAAAGGAGACCACACUUCCCAGCACUUAAAAAGAAGAAGCGGAGCAUGGAAGCCAUUCUCCAGAAAUCUGAGCUGACCGUAGGCAAGCUUCAAAUGUGGAUGACCUCAUAGAAACAGUGACUGACAAAUCCAUGAAGCUUCUGGAACAAAGGCACGCUGAGCUUAAGCAGUGUGAGUUUCUAGGGGCUGAGAUCCUUCAGUCUUCGAAGCAAUUCCAAAGGCUUUCCAAGAGAACCACGAGGAAGUAUAAGCUGCGACGAGCAUGCUUCCCAUGCACCUGCUGCUGCUGCUGAGUUCCCAGUACAGAGCUCAGCUACCAAGGGGAGGGACCCUGCCUCAAACAGGGUAGACAAGCAGCAGCCAACGCUGCCAUCUGAAUCUAACCACACGCUACAGCAGGUGCACGCCCUCACACAUAAGCAUGCAAACAUAUGUACCAUGCAUGCAUGCUCCCAAAUAAGUAUUUUUUAAAAAGAUUCUUCAAAAUAAAAUGAUAGAAGCAUUUACCAACCACAUUCCUCAAGGACUAAGAGAGAGCUGUAGAAAAGCAACACAGAUGGACUGAUUUCAUACGACAGCCAUUCUUAACAGUGUGAAAGCUUCCCCUACAAUAAACCCACGCCUAAGUACUCAUCAUGGCCCUCUAAGGCCUACUCAUGGACUCCAUUUUCUCAAGUUUUACUAAUAUCUUCUAGAAAUCUAUUCAUUUUCUCAUGUGUAUCCCAAAUGCCAUCUUAGAUAAUCCUUACCUGGUUUGCUAAGGCAAAUGUUAGCAGCUACCUAGAGUUUUGAAUGACCACAAAGAUCCACCUUGAGACAUUUUAUUAAAUAUUUUCAGAUGCUGAUUUCUAUGUUUAAGGAUAAAAAUGUAUUUAAAAAAUACAUAUAUAUGGGAUACAUUUCCGUUCUGUGAAGAAAUAUGAAUGACACACGAAUACUUGAAAGCAAAGUACUUCAAUGCUGAAGUUGAAAUAUCCCAAAAGUACAACACACUGAACCCAGGAAGCCCAUGCAGCUAUUCGCUGUCCCUGUAAAUGGCGACGGUCAGUCCAUCUACGGCUUAGGGUCUGCUUCCAUGGUGCUUUCUUGAGCUUCAUCCACCUCUGACAGCUUGUCAUCAUCUGUAGUUAAGAAGACACAGAACCUUACUCCAUGUCACCUACAUUUUGUGCCUAGUAAUGCAUGAGAAGUUUUAUUUUGCAUUAGCAAAUAUGGUUAUGUAUGCAGUCCCACCGCACCCCCCCAACGUAAUUGUUAUAUUUGAUUAUUUUUACAUAUUAUUAAGAGCAUAUAAUUUGUGUGAUAGAUUUCAUUAAAACCAAAGAACUAAAAUCUAGGUCUUAACCUGAUU